rnacentral:rRNA from 1 species
AGUGGGGAAUAUUGGACAAUGGGGGCAACCCUGAUCCAGCCAUGCCGCGUGAGUGAAGAAGGCCUUAGGGUUGUAAAGCUCUUUCGCUAGGGAAGAUAAUGACGGUACCUAGUAAAGAAGUCCCGGCUAACUCCGUGCCAGCAGCCGCGGUAAUACGGAGGGGACUAGCGUUGUUCGGAAUUACUGGGCGUAAAGAGUACGUAGGCUGUUUUUCAAGUUGGGUGUGAAAGCCCGGGGCUCAACCCCGGAACUGCACUCAAAACUGGAAGACUAGAGAUCGGAAGAGGUAAGUGGAAUUCCCAGUGUAGAGGUGAAAUUCGUAGAUAUUGGGAAGAACACCAGUGGCGAAGGCGGCUUACUGGUCCGAUACUGACGCUGAGGUACGAAAGCGUGGGGAGCAAA